GCGGAACUCGCAGCGGGGUGGGCACCUUCCUCCAGCGCAAUUUUCCUUACCAAGUGGGGAGGGGGAGGUGGGCACGCUGUGCCUGCUCCGGGUCGGCGCCUGGCAACUGUGUACACGGUACACAGAGAGAGAGGAGGAUUCUGCCUCCACCGAGGAGAGAGCGUGGGGUAGCUGUUAACAGCUUGGACACAGGCACCAUACAGACCCGGUAGGAAAUCUGGACCCCGUUGGUGGCUUUAUCGUGUCACCCACCCCGACACCUGGCCUCUGACACGUGGAGUGGGUGCAAGGUGGACGGUGGGCAACUCCCCCAGCAGAGAAGUCUCCAUCAGAGGGCAGGAAGGCCCAGCCACCACCUGGAGAAGGCUUGAGGCUGCGAUGGAAACCACCUCAAAACCCUUUUUGGAACAGGCAGGGCAUAAUGCAUGGGCGAGAUGAACAGAGACUGUUUCCGACCAGCUGAGCCACCUGGACACAGUCGGUGCCGGAUGGUUGUCUUCUGAGCAUCUUCUGUGUGACCAAGAUGUGGAGGACCUAACAAUGAAACCAAGUCACUCCCAGUGUUACUCAAGUUAUGCAAACUGCUGUAACAGAGAAAUCCUGACAUCUCAACGCCUAAAUACGAUAGAAGUCAGUUCAACGUGUGCCCCAUUCAGUCAACCGACCGAGUGAGACUG